AUACUUACUUGGCGUAGAGGGAUACCGUGAUCGUGCAGGCGGUUCCCCCAGGGCGAGGCUGCUCCAUUGCACUGCGGAGUGGUUGACCCUUGCGAUUAAUUUUAUAUUUAUCAAUAAAAAAAUCAUAUAAUAAAAUGGAUACUCGAAUAAUUAUUUUCUUUAGGUAUACCUC
rnacentral:snRNA from 9 species